rnacentral:rRNA from 1 species
GCAAGGAAGUAAGAUCCCUGAAAGAUGAUCAGGUUGAUAGGUCUGAGGUGGAAGUGUGGCGACACAUGGAGCUGACAGAUACUAAUCGAUCGAGGACUUAACCUA